rnacentral:rRNA from 1 species
AAGUUUUUCGGCCAGGGAUGUGCUCGCGGCCUAUCAGCUUGUUGGUGGGUAAUGGCCUACCAAGGCUUCGACGGGUAGCCGGCCUGAGAGGGUGACCGGCCACACUGGGACUGAGACACGGCCCAGACUCCUACGGGAGGCAGCAGUGGGGAAUAUUGGACAAUGGGCGGAAGCCUGAUCCAGCAACGCCGCGUGAGGGAUGACGGCCUUCGGGUUGUAAACCUCUUUCAGUACCGACGAAGCGCCGAUGAUGGUGGUGACGGUAGGUACAGAAGAAGCACCGGCCAACUACGUG